UACGUAGGGGGCAAGCGUUAUUCGGAGUUAUUGGGCGUAAAGGGUGUGUAGGCGGCGUUUUAAGUGAGGUGUUAAAUACCUGAGCUUAACCGAGGAACUGCAUCUGAAACUGGCAAGCUAGAGGACGGAAGAGAGGAGUGGAAUUCCCGGUGUAGAGGUAAAAUGCGUAGAUCUUGAGAAGAACACCGAUGGCGAAGGCGGCUUACUGGGCCGUAACUGACGCUGAGGCUCGAAAGCGUGGGGAGCAAACAGG
rnacentral:rRNA from 1 species